rnacentral:rRNA from 1 species
UUUUAUGGAGAGUUUGAUCCUGGCUCAGAGUGAACGCUGGCGGCGUGCCUAAUACAUGCAAGUCGAACGAUGAAGCUUCUAGCUUGCUAGAAUGCUGAUUAGUGGCGCACGGGUGAGUAACGCAUAGGUUAUGUGCCUCUUAGUUUGGGAUAGCCAUUGGAAACGAUGAUUAAUACCAGAUACUCCCUACGGGGGAAAGAUUUAUCGCUAAGAGAUCAGCCUAUGUCCUAUCAGCUUGUUGGUAAGGUAAUGGCUUACCAAGGCUAUGACGGGUAUCCGGCCUGAGAGGGUGAACGGACACACUGGAACUGAGACACGGUCCAGACUCCUACGGGAGGCAGCAGUAGGGAAUAUUGCUCAAUGGGGGAAACCCUGAAGCAGCAACGCCGCGUGGAGGAUGAAGGUUUUAGGAUUGUAAACUCCUUUUGUUAGAGAAGAUAAUGACGGUAUCUAACGAAUAAGCACCGGCUAACUCCGUGCCAGCAGCCGCGGUAAUACGGAGGGUGCAAGCGUUACUCGGAAUCACUGGGCGUAAAGAGCGCGUAGGCGGGAUAGUCAGUCAGGUGUGAAAUCCUAUGGCUUAACCAUAGAACUGCAUUUGAAACUACUAUUCUAGAGUGUGGGAGAGGUAGGUGGAAUUCUUGGUGUAGGGGUAAAAUCCGUAGAGAUCAAGAGGAAUACUCAUUGCGAAGGCGACCUGCUGGAACAUUACUGACGCUGAUUGCGCGAAAGCGUGGGGAGCAAACAGGAUUAGAUACCCUGGUAGUCCACGCCCUAAACGAUGGAUGCUAGUUGUUGGAGGGCUUAGUCUCUCCAGUAAUGCAGCUAACGCAUUAAGCAUCCCGCCUGGGGAGUACGGUCGCAAGAUUAAAACUCAAAGGAAUAGACGGGGACCCGCACAAGCGGUGGAGCAUGUGGUUUAAUUCGAAGAUACACGAAGAACCUUACCUAGGCUUGACAUUGAGAGAAUCCGCUAGAAAUAGUGGAGUGUCUGGCUUGCCAGACCUUGAAAACAGGUGCUGCACGGCUGUCGUCAGCUCGUGUCGUGAGAUGUUGGGUUAAGUCCCGCAACGAGCGCAACCCCCUUUCUUAGUUGCUAACAGGUUAUGCUGAGAACUCUAAGGAUACUGUCUCCGUAAGGAGGAGGAAGGUGGGGACGACGUCAAGUCAUCAUGGCCCUUACGCCUAGGGCUACACACGUGCUACAAUGGGGUGCACAAAGAGAAGCAAUACUGCGAAGUGGAGCCAAUCUUCAAAACAUCUCUCAGUUCGGAUUGUAGGCUGCAACUCGCCUGCAUGAAGCUGGAAUCGCUAGUAAUCGCAAAUCAGCCAUGUUGCGGUGAAUACGUUCCCGGGUCUUGUACUCACCGCCCGUCACACCAUGGGAGUUGUGUUUGCCUUAAGUCAGGAUGCUAAAUUGGCUACUGCCCACGGCACACACAGCGACUGGGGUGAAGUCGUAACAAGGUAACCGUAGGUGAACCUGCGGUUGGAUCACCUCCUUUCUAGA